GCCUUGAAAGCCCAAUAGUAAGAGCGCCUGGUCUUGUAAACCAGGAGAGAGAGGGUUAAAUCCCCUCUCAAGGCU
rnacentral:tRNA from 1 species